rnacentral:rRNA from 1 species
CAGUAGCCGCGGUAAUACGUAGGUGGCAAGUGUUGUCCGGAAUUAUUAGGCGUAAAGCGCGCGCAGGCGGAUCAGUCAGUCUGUCUUAAAAGUUCGGGGCUUAACCCCGUGAUGGGAUGGAAACUGCUGAUCUAGAGUAUCGGAGAGGAAAGUGGAAUUCCUAGUGUAGCGGUGAAAUGCGUAGAUAUUAGGAAGACCACCAGUGGCGAAGGCGACUUUCUGGACGAAAACUGACGCUGAGGCGCGAAAGCCAGGGGAGCGAACGGGAUUAGAUACCCGUGUAGUCCCUGUCUCUUAUACA